rnacentral:rRNA from 1 species
AUUGCCUGAAGAUGAGCUCGCGUCUGAUUAGCUAGUAGGUGUGGUAAGAGCGCACCUAGGCGACGAUCAGUAGCUGGUCUAACGGAGAGGAUGAUCAGCUUACACACUGGGACUGAGACACGGCCCAGACUCCUACGGGAGGCAGCAGUGGGGAAUUUUCCGCAAUGCGAGGCGAAAGCCUGACGAAGCAAUACCGCGUGAGGGAGGAAGGCUCUUGGGUUGUAAACCUCUUUUCUCAGGGAAGAGCAUG